rnacentral:rRNA from 1 species
AACGCUAGCUACAGGCUUAACACAUGCAAGUCGAGGGGCAGCGCAGUGUAGCAAUACACGGGCGGCGACCGGCGCACGGGUGCGUAACGCGUAUCCAACCUUCCCGAUACUCAGGGAUAGCCUUCCGAAAGGGAGAUUAAUACCUGAUGGUGUUCAAAUUCCGCAUGUUAUUUGAACUAAAGAUUUAUCGGUAUCGGAUGGGGAUGCGUGACAUUAGGUAGAUGGCGGGGUAACGGCCCACCAUGCCUACGAUGUCUAGGGGUUCUGAGAGGAAGGCCCCCACACUGGAACUGAGACACGGUCCAGACUCCUACGGGAGGCAGCAGUGAGGAAUAUUGGUCAAUGGCCGGAAGGCUGAACCAGCCAAGUAGCGUGAAGGAUGAAGGUUCUAUGGAUUGUAAACUUCUUUUAUACGGGAAUAAAACCUCCCACGUGUGGGAGCUUGUAUGUACCGUAUGAAUAAGCAUCGGCUAACUCCGUGCCAGCAGCCGCGGUAAUACGGAGGAUGCGAGCGUUAUCCGGAUUUAUUGGGUUUAAAGGGAGCGUAGACGGGGGAUUAAGUCAGUUGUGAAAGGCUGCGGCUCAACCGUAAAAUUGCAGUUGAAACUGCCGUUCUUGAGUGUGCGCAGGGAUGUUGGAAUUCGUGGUGUAGCGGUGAAAUGCUUAGAUAUCACGAAGAACUCCGAUUG